UCCGGUUCAUCACCGGCAGUCUCUUUAGAGUCCCCGCCAUGACGCGUUGGCAACUAAAGACAAGGGUUGCGCUCGUUACGGGACUUAACCCAACAUCUCACAACACGAGCUGACGACAGCCAUGCAGCACCUGUCUCACGGUUCCUUUCGGCACUUUUACAUCUCUGCAAAAUUCCGUGGAUGUCAAGGGUAGGUAAGGUUCUUCGCGUUGCAUCGAAUUAAACCACAUGCUCCACCGCUUGUGCGGGCCCCCGUCAAUUCCUUUGAGUUUUAACCUUGCGGCCGUACUCCCCAGGCGGAGAACUUAUCGCGUUAGCUUCGAUACUAACAGGUCAUGCCUGCCAACAUCUAGUUCUCAUCGUUUACGGCGUGGACUAC
rnacentral:misc_RNA from 1 species